AUUUAUUAAUUGAAUAUUUUGAUUAUAUAUGGGAAAUUUGAUUUUCUAUACUUAGAAAAUCAAAAAAUUUGAUUUCUAAACCAAUAAUUUAAACCCUAAAAAAACUAUACUUUUUUUUUCAAAACCCCAAAAAUACCCCCAAACUAAAACUAUCUCUCUUUCUCUCUCUAUCUAGCCGGUCCCAAGAAUCCCACACCCCAGGUCCGACCAUCGGACCUCUCUCUUCCCCUCUCUCUCAAAUCGCAGGAAAAAAAAAAAAAAAAAUUAAA